rnacentral:lncRNA from 1 species
AGAAAGAAAAUUCUCUGCAGGCUCUGUCUUGCACUGGAGUUGCUACCUUUAGCCCAGUGGAUCACUGUGCUUGAAAUUCCCACAUUAUUCAUUCUGCAGAGUUAAGACAUAAAGUAAGAUCCUGACAAAAGAGUCUUUCCUUUGACCAGAACUCACUAUUUAGCCAGAGUCGGAAGGCAACAAAUACUUGAAAAAUGGCAGGUGCCGUGAUGAGAUGCAAUAAAAGGAGCAUCUUUAGUGCCAGUGUCUGGAAACGAAAGGAUGAACUGAACAUGAAAAUGAAAAUCGGCCGGACGCGGUGGCCCACGCCUGUAAUCCCAGCACUUUGGG